rnacentral:rRNA from 1 species
AUUGAACGCUGGCGGCAUGCUUUACACAUGCAAGUCGAACGGUAACAGGUUAAGCUGACGAGUGGCGAACGGGUGAGUAAUGCAUCGGAACGUGCCCGAUCGUAGGGGAUAACGCAGCGAAAGCUGCGCUAAUACCGCAUACGAUCUGAGGAUGAAAGCGGGGGACCGUAAGGCCUCGCGCGAUCGGAGCGGCCGACGUCAGAUUAGGUAGUUGGUGGGGUAAAGGCUCACCAAGCCAACGAUCUGUAGCUGGUCUGAGAGGACGACCAGCCACACUGGGACUGAGACACGGCCCAGACUCCUACGGGAGGCAGCAGUGGGGAAUUUUGGACAAUGGGCGAAAGCCUGAUCCAGCAAUGCCGCGUGCAGGAAGAAGGCCUUCGGGUUGUAAACUGCUUUUGUACGGAGCGAAAAGGUUCUCUCUAAUACAGAGGGCUCAUGACGGUACCGUAAGAAUAAGCACCGGCUAACUACGUGCCAGCAGCCGCAGUAACAC